ensembl:lncRNA
CAGUUGUUCUGGCUGCCGCAUCCAGAGCGGGCCUGCUAGGGUGUGGGUGUGACUUUUCAUUCAUUCAUUCAUAGGACUGCGGAUUGAACACAGAACCUUCCCACUGACCUACAUCCCCAACCCUUUUUUAUUUUGAGACUGAGCCUCAUUAAAUUGCCCAGGCUGAGCUGCAAUUUGAAAUCCUCCUGCUUCAGCCUCUGAGAGUGCAGGGAUUACAGGCAUGCACUACCACACCCAGCUGUGACUGUGACUUAUGGGAGGGAGUGUGAAGGUCUGACCUGGGGGUGCCACUGUCUGACAUCAAGGAAGGACCCACUUCUAGAUGUUUUGAAGCCAUAGCUAGCUAUGUGGAUACAAAGCCCAAGGGAGCCAAAGGGUUCAAAAUAAAGUUAUAUGACCAGACCUACGGCGAUGCCAUUAGCAGCAAUGGAUUAUGUGGAGAUAAAGACAUCAAAGACAAGGGAUGAUCCCUGGGAGGGUCUCACUAUGUAGCCAAGGCUGUCCUGGAACUCGUGAGCUUCCUGCUUCAGCCUCCUAGGUGUUGGGAUCACAGGUGCGCACCACCACACCCAGCUUCAUGCUCUUGAUUUUGCAGAUAGAACUGAGAAACCUUUUCCCCCAAAUAAUGGAACUGACCAACAAGGAAAACUCACCAGCAAGGGCCAUACACAAGUAAAAAGAACUCUUUGCUGCUGCUGGUGUAGACUCAGACAAGGUUAAUGGACCAAGAUAAACAUUCUCCUUCGCCUCCUGAGCAUCAAACGGGAAACACAGGCCACACAAAGCCCUAUCUUAAAUUCUGCUGUUGUGAGUGGAAGAUUCUGAGCACACUUCGCUCAGGGUAACGUGGGCUGGGGGUGAGCAGGAUUCAGCCGGGGCUCAUAGGUCUCAGGUCUGCCAGGAAGGCCUCGCCCAGGCGGGAAGUGCCUUCCACCUGAAGUGUUUGCCCCUGAAUGGAGAGAAUCUUCCCUGACCAGGAAGCUUGCUGGGCACACCUAGCUUCUUUUCGAAAAUUCUCAUGGCACUUUCCAGAAACAAAUAGAUCUGGAAUUAGAAAAAUGCCAUCUGAUUAAAAUAUAAAUAAACUUUACCAUGCAAAGUUGCUCAGUAGAAGAGGCUCAGGGUAGAUCUGGGUUCUAAGGCCAGGCUUUCCCCUCCCUCCCCAUGUGAAUCUUUAAGACAAGCUAUCUUCCUGUCUGCCCAUCCUGGGGAUCAAGCCUACAGCCUCACUCACUAACACGGGUUCCACCGGAGCCAUGGCCCAGCCCCAAUCUUCGCCUCUGCAGCCUCAGUCUCCACAUCUGUAAAUGGAAUAAUAACAGACCUCGGGAAGCCUGGCAAGGUAGCACACACCUGUAAGCCCAGCACGCGGGAGGCUGAGGCAGGCAGGAGGAUCACGAGUUCAAGGCCAACCUGGGUAACAUAGUAAGUUCAAAGCCAGCCUGGAUUAUAUAGCAAGGCCCUGUCUUCAAAACCAAAACCCAAACCUAACCCAAACCAAACAGGCCUGGGGUAAUGUGAGGAUUCUAUGUCUACGCAUGUGGACAGCCAGCCUGGAUGAAGCUUGGCUUGCGGUUCUUGCUAAUCAGACCAAAGUGCAGACCCAAAAGUGUCCCGGCGAGCUGCAGAGACCAUUUAGUCAGCGCUUCCCAUGGCCCAGAACAGUGUCGGAGACGAGAGUCAGAGAGGUGAGGCGCUGUCCACGACGUCCACCUCAGAGGCAGUGCUGGGCGCCCCAGCUGGUCACCUCCUCAGGCUGCCUUCAGGUUCUUGGCUUCCUGUUCUACGCUUUGAGUCCCAAGACCAUCAAACUGUGGGCAUCACCUCUGGCUGGCUUCCGUGUUGUUCCCGAG